rnacentral:ribozyme from 1 species
GUGGCGUUGGCUAGUGAUGCUAUUGGUGGACAUUAUGAUAUUGUGCACUAUCCAAGUAUAGGUGGAUUGACUAAGGCGGAUGCUGAUUUUAUUUUUGGUGAUUUGAGUGUUUUGACUAUGUGGAGGUUUAUGAUUAGUUUUAUACUUGGUUCUGGUGAAGAUGA